rnacentral:tRNA from 1 species
GAUGGGAUGGGAUGGGAUUCCUCGACCUCGGCUGCCGCCGCCGGUCGACUCUCCGUUGUUAUUGGUGUGCGUGUCGCGACCCCGUCG